ensembl:lncRNA
AUGAAGCUCCAUGAGCUUUCCCAAUUCAAACUUGGGCUUCUUCAGCAUUUUUACUUUCCUAACGAAGACAUCAUGGAGAGGAUAAAUAGAUUGGCAAGCCUUUUCUAUGUCUUUUCCAAUGCUGUCUGGAAUCAAUUUAUUGACCACUUCUUUCAAGUCGUUUGUCUGCACCUCUCGGGUCAUGAUUUCCAUCAUCUUCUUCCGGAUUUGGCGGACCUGUUGGUGCUGAGCAUAAGAGGUCUUCCGUAUCUGAUUGUUGCGUUUUUUAGUAAAACCAACACAGAACAGACGAAGCAAGUAACCAUCGGUAGUCUUGACAUCAACAUGAAUUUUCUAAAUGCAACUUCAUCAUUCUGCAAAUCAGCAAGACUCACUUCAAACACACGACCCUUGAGACCAUCAGAUGCGAUUUUGGUUCCUUGGGUUCUGGUGACGAGCGUCUUUCCAAUAUUUCUUAUAUUGAACAUAGCAGGUGCUUUCACAUCAUACCAAUCUUUCUUAGAAAAUGGAUCAACCAUUUUCUACUUGGCUCCCUUUUUGCCGCCUUUUGUAAGGCGCUUGUUCUUGUCAACCGCCAUGGUGCUGAUCAGAGAGCCAAAAGGCUCUCUCUGCACUUUAAAUCUUGAUGUCCUCUUAGUAUCCAUUUCUGUUUUCUUAUCUGUUCACACUACAUGCUGCAUUUUGAGUGUAUUUCAUUAACUCUUAUGCUGCCAUAAAUUCUUAUUAAAUCAUAAAAUGCCCAGGCAUCAGGUCAUGUUAGGAAUAAAUAUGGUGGGACAAGAGAAUAUAGAUCCAGAAUCGCUCCAUGCAAGAACUCAUUUUAAAAAAAUCUUCCUCCCCUGGUCUCCGGGAAGAGUCAGGAGGUAAUAUUCAAAAGGCAGCUGAUGCAAGGAAUUAGGGCAAAAUUUGAUCUAGGAAUUGUGGAAACAGCAACAGGAAUAGUAGCACCUAAAAGAAGUUGGAUGUGAAUUGAAUGACGCCAGAAUCCAGGUUGAAGACUAAAAGGUGACACUAUAGGAAUUAUUUAAAACAAAAUCCGUUACCUAAAAUCACCCAGCUAAGAUAUUAUACUAACCUUCAGGAGUCAAAAACUAGAAACAAAAUCUAAAUGUAAAAGAAAGAGAUUGGUAGGAACAGUUUGAAUUCCCAGAUAAUAAUGAUAUUUUUUAAAAGUUAGUAUAACUUCCAAAGAUUUAAUAUUAGUUUGUUCUUUCAAUGGGAACACAUGUUCAUUCGUAUUUGAAAGAAAGAUUGGGAGAUUUCUUCAAUAACUUAUAUUCUUGUACUGUUGAUUUAUGAAAGGAAAACUUGGCUGUACUCUUAAGCUUCUUUAGUGAUUUUUUAAUAUAUUCAGGAUCAUAUGUGUAAAAAAUAAAAUAUCUCUUGUGAACACAAAUGAAAAAUCCCUAACAAAAUACAGUAGUCCCCCUUAUCUGUGGUUUCACUUUCUGUAUCUUUGAUUACUUACAGUUAACAGUGGUAUGAAAAUAUUAAAUGGAAAACUUCAGAGAUAAACAAUUCAUCCGUCUUAAUGUUGUUUUGAGCAGUGUGAUGAAAUCCUGUAAUGUCCCGUUUCACUCUGCCUAGGAUGUGUAUCCACCCUGUAUAUGCUACUUGCCUGUUAGUCACUUAGUAGCCAUCUCUGUCAUCAGAUCAACUGUCACAGAAUUGUCUUACUUGCAUUCAAGCAACUCUCAUUUUACUUAAUAAUGAUCCCAAAGCACAAAAGUAAUGAUGCUGGCAUAUUGUUAUUAUUGUUCUGUUUUAGUAUUCAUUAUCAUUAUUAAUCUUAAGUAUACUUAAAAUAUAAAUUAAAAUUUAUCAUAGGUACAUACAUAGGAAAACACACAGUAUACACAGGAUUUGGUACUAUCAGCAAUUUCAAGCAUCCACUGGGAGUCAUGAAACAUAUUCCCCUGAGGAUAUGAG